GAUGAACGCUGGCGGCGUGCCUAAUACAUGCAAGUCGAGCGAACGGACGAGAAGCUUGCUUCUCUGAUGUUAGCGGCGGACGGGUGAGUAACACGUGGAUAACCUACCUAUAAGACUGGGAUAACUUCGGGAAACCGGAGCUAAUACCGGAUAAUAUUUUGAACCGCAUGGUUCAAAAGUGAAAGACGGUCUUGCUGUCACUUAUAGAUGGAUCCGCGCUGCAUUAGCUAGUUGGUAAGGUAACGGCUUACCAAGGCAAUGAUGCAUAGCCGACCUGAGAGGGGGAUCGGCCACACUGGAACGGAGACACGGUCCAGACUCCGACGGGAGGCAGCAGUAGGGAAUCUUCCGCAAUGGGCGAAAGCCUGACGGAGCAACGCCGCGUGAGUGAUGAAGGUCUGCGGAUCGUAAAACUCUGUUAUUAGGGAAGAACAUAUGUGUAAGUAACUGUGCACAUCUUGACGGUACCUAAUCAGAAAGCCACGGCUAACUACG
rnacentral:rRNA from 1 species